rnacentral:rRNA from 1 species
GCAAGGAAUUUUGGGCAAUGGACGAAAGUCUGACCCAGCGACACCGCGUGAGGGAAUAAGGCCUUCGGGUUGUAAACCUCUUUUCUUGGGGAAGAAUCUCGACGGUACCCAAGGAAUAAGCCUCGGCCAACUACGUGCCAGCAGCCGCGGUAAUACGUAGGAGGCGAACGUUAUUCGGAUUUACUGGGCGUAAAGGGAGCGUAGGCGGUUCCUUAAGUCGGAUGUGAAAUCUUCUGACUCAAUCGGAAGGCGCCAUUUGAUACUGAGGGACUUGAGAGCAGCAGAGGGAAAUGGAAUCUCCAGUGUAGCGGUGAAAUGCGUAGAUAUUGGAGAGAACACCAGUGGCAAAGGCGGUUUCCCAGGCUGCUUCUGACGCUGAGGCUCGAAAGCGUGGGGAGCGAAGCGGAUUAGAUACCCCAGUAGUCC